UGGGUUCAAUGUGUGCCUUCUCUUCGGAGUUGGCCAUCCACACACACCGUGAACUGUGGCUUCGGCCAUCACAAACUAUUAGUAAUGAAUGUAAUAUCAUAACAAAAUAAAACUUUUAACAACGGAUCUCUUGGCUCUCGCAUCGAUGAAGAACGCAGCGAAAUGCGAUAAGUAAUGUGAAUUGCAGAAUUCAGUGAAUCAUCGAAUCUUUGAACGCACCUUGCGCCCUUUGGUAUUCCGAAGGGCAUGCCUGUUUGAGUGUCAUGAAACCUCACUCCACUUGGGUUUUUGCCUGAGUGGUAGUGUAUUGGGUGUUGCCUUGCCAAAGGCUCGCCUUAAAAGAAUAAGCACCUUGGAUGUAAUACGUUUCAUCCUUCUGGGUGGCUAAUAACCCCACAUAUCUCAUGAU
rnacentral:misc_RNA from 1 species